AGCUUCCUGGGGUGCGUAGCUGAAGGUAGCAGGGAGCAAAAAGAAUCUGAAGGGGAAGUGAACAAUGUAGAGCGUAUCUGUGCUGAAGACGUAAGGAGAGAGUGGAGGUCAGAAGCUGGCAUGGUCCCUGGUGCAUGUAUCAGCCGCUAAAGCUGGAGUGGAUGAAUCAGAACUUUCCCCAUGGGAGCAUUUAUAAAAAGGGGACACCCAGCGCAGAAGAUGUUUUCCAGGGAGAUCUCGGGGAGCCCAACAAGCCAAGAAGAGCAGAGCAAAGCAUUCCAAGGAAGGACUCUAAGUCUGCAACCGAGCACACACGAGCACAAGGAAAGACCAUGUGAAUACACAGCAAGAACGUGGUGCUCUGCAAGUCAGAAACAGACCCGUCAUCAGACACCAAAUCAGCCAGCACCUUGAUCUAGGAUUUCUGGCCUCCAAAACAGUGAGAAAAUAAAAUUCUGUUGUUUAAGCCAUGCA
rnacentral:lncRNA from 1 species